rnacentral:tRNA from 1 species
AUGCGCCCGGCUCGGCUGGCGGGUGUCGCCGUCUCGGCGGCGGUCGUGUUCUGCGCCGUCGCGGCGCCCGCCGGUGCGAGUCCGGCGGCGGGUCC